UCCCAGCUACUCAGCUACUCGGGAGACCAAGACAUGGAAUAAACUUGACAAGUGCUAAAGAUGCUCUUUGAUUUUUGUGUGGCAUGAGACCUCAGGCUGAAACUUCUCAUCUGAGCCAUUGAAGGGAGCCUCUCAUCUCUCCACCGAGAGGGGAGACCAGAAUGCUCUGUUUCUGGCAGGAAUCUGACACCACUUACUCCUUGGGUAGAAACUCCCCCAAGUCUGAACUAUGUGAUUGCCUGAGCCCUGCUUCUUGUUCAUUAAGACUGCUCCUCUGAAACGGAAUUGAUGAAUUUUUAGUGGCUAUUAGAAGCAUUUGGGAUCCAUAGGCAUCAGGGUUUGAUGCAUGGCCCUCAUCUCUGUGGGCUCCUGUGCAAUGAUUCUCAUCUGUCUUAGUUAGAAAGUGAAUUAAUCUUGACCUUGGCCUCAGGGGUGUGGUUCUCUGCCCUCUUACACAUCUUCAAUUCGCUUCUUUAUCAGAAGCACUUGUUUUAGGCCCAGGCUCCCCCAAUUUUAAUGACAUUUAGACAUUUGUCUUUAAGUU
ensembl:lncRNA DARS1-AS1 DARS1 antisense RNA 1